GGCACAUCAAGACCCCAUACAAAGGAAAACGUCCUAAGGGCCACAGGAAUAGGCUGCUUUAACGGGAUACUGAGCGCCCUGUCACCACUGGAGUUCACACAAAGGCUGGAGAACGACCUGACCGAAGCAGCGGACGAAUCCUCGCCCUGGGUGACAGGUAUUUAUUUUUUGUGGAAGGUGAGAAGUCUAUGGUCAAGGCGCCUGAACUCUGGGCAAGGACCUUCUUGCCGCAUCAUCCCAUGGCAGAAGGCAGAAAGGUAAGAGAGAGAGAAAGGGGUGAGG
rnacentral:lncRNA from 10 species